rnacentral:rRNA from 1 species
AGUGAACGCUGGCGGUAGGCCUAACACAUGCAAGUCGAACGGCAGCACAGUAAGAGCUUGCUCUUACGGGUGGCGAGUGGCGGACGGGUGAGGAAUACAUCGGAAUCUACUUUUUCGUGGGGGAUAACGUAGGGAAACUUACGCUAAUACCGCAUACGACCUACGGGUGAAAGCAGGGGAUCUUCGGACCUUGCGCGAGUGAAUGAGACGAUGUCGGAUUAGCUAGUUGGCGGGGUAAAGGCCCACCAAGGCGACGAUCCGUAGCUGGUCUGAGAGGAUGAUCAGCCACACUGGAACUGAGACACGGUCCAGACUCCUACGGGAGGCAGCAGUGGGGAAUAUUGGACAAUGGGCGCAAGCCUGAUCCAGCCAUACCGCGUGGGUGAAGAAGGCCUUCGGGUUGUAAAGCCCUUUUGUUGGGAAAGAAAAGCAGCAGGUUAAUACCCCGCUGUUCUGACGGUACCCAAAGAAUAAGCACCGGCUAACUUCGUG